UACGUAGGGGGCUAGCGUUGUCCGGAAUCAUUGGGCGUAAAGAGCGUGUAGGCGGUCCGGUAAGUCCGUUGUGAAAGUCAAGGGCUCAACCCUUGAAUGCCGGCGGAUACUGUCGGGCUAGAGUCCGGAAGAGGCAAGUGGAAUUCCCGGUGUAGCGGUGAAAUGCGCAGAUAUCGGGAGGAACACCUACGGCGAAGGCAGCUUGCUGGGACGGUACUGACGCUGAGACGCGAAAGCGUGGGGAGCAAACAGG
rnacentral:rRNA from 1 species